AGGUUAGAACAUCCCCUGGCUGGAAACAGCCCCUUUCUGCUCCUGAAGCACACGUGCUGCCUUCAGAGCUGUGCACCAGCUCUGCAGGCUGGAGAGGAGACCUCAUCAAGCAUCUCUGCUUUUUUAGCAGCCCUUCCCAAGCAGCUUCCCAGCUGAGAGCAGCUUGGCAGGCCCUCUCCUAACAUCCUCCAUGCUCUCUCUUCGAGGGCUGCUGGCCCGGCAUUGGGGUUAGGCUGGCGUUCCAAAAUUGCACAGCUUUCCUUUCCCCCUGCCACAGCUUUCUUGAGAUCCCUCAGCAAGCCAGAAACAGAAGCCCAGGGGCCAAUUCCCAGUUGUGUGUUCAGUCACAAGACCAGCUCCAUUUUCGAUCCGGUUCCACAUUCAGUAGCUAUAUGUAACUCCUAGCCAACAUGUCUCCGUACCCAGGAAAUUACCACGGCGGACUCAGAGCUGGUAAGGACAAUAGCGUGUUUGGCUCAUUCGUUUGGAUCAGCACCAUUUCAAAUGUACUUUUCCUCCUCAACUUAUUUAACCUCGCAACCAAGAGCCACAACGAUGGUGAGCUAUUUGUUUCGAGACCAGAUCCCCUGGGAGAAUAGGCACAAAGAAUAGAAAGCAGCCUGGAGAGAUGGAAGAGAGAAAGGGAUUCGAAUGCAUCGCCCUUGGAGACCAUGCCAACGACCUGCUAGAGUCCAGCCAUCAUAAAUAAAUAGACUCCGUUUAUUGUCUAGCCAGGCCAGCAAGCACGGUAAUGCUUGAGCCGGUUCCAGCGGGUGGGGCGACUGAGCAGCACCGCGCUUUCGUGCUGCGCUUUCUGAGACAAAACAGAUGUCGGUCACCGAGCGCUGGUUUUUGUCGCGUGAUUUGCGAUGCAGCCACUUGCGUGCAAUUGAUGAGGGGCUUUGUUAACGGCCCCCCAAAUCGGAGCCAAAAAGACUUCUUCCGUGGCGGUGAAUCCUUAAGCGAGUGGCAACAAUGCAAAGCGAGCGUGGCUCGAAACCUGCGGCAAUGGAAGCGCCACGUUCCAAUCCCUCUGUAACAGACCCGCCAGAUGCUCCGCAGUGCUUAGAGUAAAGCCCAAGACAGACCCCACUAUGCUCAUGCAAAGGGCUGAGCGGGGUGUGCUGAGCUUCUCCGUCCAUCCCAGGUUCACCCUUUAACCUGUUUCGUGGCUGAUUCGGUCCAAAUCGAGCUGUUCCCAGCU
rnacentral:lncRNA from 1 species